UCCUCGGGCGCCGGAGCGCGCGCCCGAGCGGGAGCCGCAGCGCUGCCGGGGGCGGGGCCCGGCGGCAGGAGGCGGGGCUCCGCGGCGCAGCCCCGCCCCUGCUUCCCGUCGCCUAGGCGACCGGCCGCGCGCGCUCCCGGGAGACUGCGCGGUGCGGAAGCCUCGGCUCGCGCUUAGAUAAACAACCUCCUCUGCCACGCAACAACACCUUACCCCGCACGCCCCGUCGAACCCCAGGGCCUGCGUACUGGGCAUGCGCAGUUCGUCUGCCUGAGCCGGGAACCUGGUCAACUUGAGAAUCCCACGCUCGGCAUUGGGGAGGAGGCAAGAUGUUAGCGGGGCCAGAGCAGUCUGCAGGCUUUAACGUGAGGCUGAGAGUGAAAAGAAGAAACGGGCAAGGUCCAAAAGGAGGUAUUAGGGAUUUUGCUUGACACCACCCAGUUUCUCUGUACCCCUGAGGGCUUUGGUGUUUUCUUGUAUAAACAUAAAGAGAAGCUUUUUUAAGAGGGCGCAGAUAAAUACAACGGAGUGAGCCUUUUUUUAAGCAUCAGAACACUGAAGGAGAGGACAUAAGGCCCCCAAAGCCACUGCCCUAGGCGGCAAAGGCGAGUCCGCGGAAGUCAGGCCCACGCCCGGUGACGUCGCCGGGGUCCCGCCCACCGCCUCCAGCCCCGCCCCUCUCCAGCGCCGGACUGAUGUCGAGCUCUUCCCACGCCCUCUCAGCUACGGGCGCCUGGAAAACCGGGAGAACAGAGCUCCAAGCCGCAAAAGAAGGCCCAGGGCCACCUCAUAGCAACAGCUAGCUGGGGCACCUAGUAGGAAGCUGGGAUUCAUUCCAACCAACCAGAUCACGUUUCUGUACCCCAUGGUACCAUUCUCGGCCAAUAGAGAGCCGCUUCAUACCACGUGAUGCCCACCCGUCAGCCAAUGAGGAAAACUCUAGUCGCAGGAUCAACCAACUCACCUCCCCUCGCCUGGCCAAGCUGGGCGUUUGUUCCUGAGCACUCUCUGCCAACCAAUCGUAGCUGACCUUCCUGAAGAGCUGCUAAAGGAUUUCUCUUCUUCAUCACUGAAGUGGAGCCCAGCAACUAGUAUAUCUGAUAAACUGCAAGACACAGAUUUAGGAUUCUCGAAGCUACUGUCAGCCAACACAGAACAUUCUGGAAUGGUGGAAAGUACCUUGUCCUAAGAGCCAGCGUCAAGCCUUUGUUUUGCCAAGGUUCCUUCAUGUGACCUUGAAACAGCACAUAAAAUGCUACUGUGCACCAAGAAGUCACCAACACCCCCACCCCAGUCGUCACGGUAUGGUGGUCUCAGGCUUUCCGGAUGGGAGCAAAACUGGCUCCUGAAGGCUGUCAGCAGAAAAGUUUGCUGAAACUGGCUGUGAGUAAGUUCUUUGAUAAGACUGGGCCCCAAGUGGCCCCAUCCCUGGCCCUGGUAUUCUCAGCAAGUGAAUGCCCAAGUUUUGAGCCACAUGGACCUUCAACACAGUGGACUGGGGGUUUGACUUAUCUCUGGAGGCAGACCAGAGAAACCAAGUCUUCCUCUGCCCUUGUCCCCUGAGGCCAUAGCCAGGUCCCCUUCUUCUGGAGGUUUGUAAUCCAGCUGUGAAAUACACCCCAGAGAGGUUCUGAUAGGAAGAACCUUCUAGUUCUGCAACCUCUGUUGACGUCCAACCCCACUCCACUGACUUCGUAGAAUACAAUCAUUCUGGCAUGGAACCAGAUAUGGGGGAUGUGGAUUGAACAGCCCAAAGGUUCAGAAGACCCCAGAAGGAAAGAUACCCCCAGGGUCAGACAUCCAGGUGAUGGUAUUUCAUUAAUAUUUAACAAAAUAAAAAUUUCUCUGCAGAGCACCAUUUGACUUACGCAGAAAAGUACAGAACCCAGAAAUGCAGCAUCAGGAAGAAGUCAAUCUAUGAAAGGAGGAUUUUUAUUUUGAUGUCAUUUCACUCACCCUAGAAGUUAAAAAAAAAAUCAAUUUCCUGCCAUAGUUUUUAGAAUGGCUGUGGACAAGGAGUGACUCAAGCCCCAAGUAUAAAGCAGGCUACACAAAUGAGUCUGAGUCAAAGAUUCCUCUUAUCUUUCAGGAAAUUGAACUAACUGCUAGAAUUGAAAUCAACAACAAAUAUUUACUGCACUUGAAACCCGGAGCUCUAAUAAAAAAAAAAAAAAAAAAAAAAAAAAAAAGGACAAA